UACAGAGGGUGCAGGCGUUAAUCGGAGUUACUGGGCGUAAAGGGCGCGUAGGCGGUCAUGCAAGUGAGAUGUGAAAUCCCCGGGCUUAACCUGGGAACUGCAUUUUAGACUGUGUGACUGGAGUACUGUAGAGGAUAGUGGAAUUUCCGGUGUAGCGGUGAAAUGCGUAGAGAUCGGAAGGAACACCAGUGGCGAAGGCGACUGUCUGGACAGAUACUGACGCUGAGGCACGAAAGCGUGGGUAGCAAACAGG
rnacentral:rRNA from 1 species